UGGGGAAUAUUGGACAAUGGGCGCAAGCCUGAUCCAGCCAUGCCGCGUGAGUGAUGAAGGCCCUAGGGUUGUAAAGCUCUUUCACCGGUGAAGAUAAUGACGGUAACCGGAGAAGAAGCCCCGGCUAACUUCGUGCCAGCAGCCGCGGUAAUACGAAGGGGGCUAGCGUUGUUCGGAUUUACUGGGCGUAAAGCGCACGUAGGCGGACUAUUAAGUCAGGGGUGAAAUCCCGGGGCUCAACCCCGGAACUGCCUUUGAUACUGGUAGUCUUGAGUUCGAGAGAGGUGAGUGGAAUUCCUAGUGUAGAGGUGAAAUUCGUAGAUAUUCGGAGGAACACCAGUGGCGAAGGCGGCUCACUGGCUCGAUACUGACGCUGAGGUGCGAAAGCGUGGGGAGCAAACAGG
rnacentral:rRNA from 1 species